rnacentral:tRNA from 12 species
CCGAGUGGUGAAAUGGGGUACCUUAGGAUCCGAAGGCCGGGGUUCGAGCCCGGCUACCUC